AAGACAUUAGUAAAGUAAAUUACAUCACCUUGUCAAGGUAAAAUCGUGGGUUAAACCCCUGCAUGUCUUA
rnacentral:tRNA from 1 species